GAUGAACGCUGGCGGCGUGCCUAAUACAUGCAAGUCGAGCGAACAGACGAGGAGCUUGCUCCUCUGACGUUAGCGGCGGACGGGUGAGUAACACGUGGAUAACCUACCUAUAAGACUGGGAUAACUUCGGGAAACCGGAGCUAAUACCGGAUAAUAUAUUGAACCGCAUGGUUCAAUAGUGAAAGACGGUUUUGCUGUCACUUAUAGAUGGAUCCGCGCCGCAUUAGCUAGUUGGUAAGGUAACGGCUUACCAAGGCAACGAUGGGUAGCCGACCUGAGAGGGUGAAUCGCCACACGGGAACUGAGGCAGGGCCCAGACUCCGACGGGAGGACGCAGUAGGGAAUCUUCCGCAAUGGGGGAAAGCCGGACGGAGCAACGCCGCGGGAAGGAUGAAGGUCUUCGGAUCGGAAAACUCUGUUAUUAGGGAAGAACAAAUGUGUAAGUAACUAUGCACGUCUUGACGGUACCUAAUCAGAAAGCCACGGCUAACUACGUG
rnacentral:rRNA from 1 species